rnacentral:rRNA from 1 species
GAUGAACGCUGGCGGCAGGCCUAAAACAUGCAAGUCGAACGCCCUAGCAAUAGGGAGUGGCGCACGGGUGAGUAACACGUGGGAAUAUGCCUUUUGGUACGGAACAACGUCUGGAAACGGACGCUAAUGCCGUAUGGUCCCUUCGGGGUAAAGAUUUAUCGCCAAAAGAUUAGCCCGCGUCUGAUUAGCUAGUUGGUGAGGUAAUGGCUCACCAAGGCGACGAUCAGUAGCUGGUCUGAGAGGACGAUCAGCCACACUGGGACUGAGACACGGCCCAGACUCCUACGGGAGGCAGCAGUUAGGAAUAUUGGACAAUGGACGCAAGUCUGAUCCAGCCAUGCCGCGUGAGUGAUGAAGGCCUUCGGGUUGUAAAGCUCUUUAGUCCACGAUUAUAAUGACUGUAGUGGAAGAAUAAGCCCCGGCUAACUUCGUGCCAGCCGCCGCGGUAACAC